GACGAACGCUGGCGGCGUGCUUAACACAUGCAGGUCGAACGGAAAGGCCUGCUUUCCCUUGUGGAUUGCGGGUACUCGAGUGGCGAACGGGUGAGUAACACGUGAGUGAUCUGCCCCCAACUUGGGUAUAAGCCUGGGAAACUGGGUCUAAUUCCCGAUAGGACUGCAGGGUGGUGCCUGUGGUGGAAAACGAUUUUCUAGUGGUUGGGGAUGAGCUCGCGGCCUAUCAGCUUGUUGGUGGGGUAAUGGCCUACCAAGGCGGCGACGGGUAGCCGGCGUGGGAGGGUGGACGGCGACAUUGGGACUGAGAGACGGCCCAGACUCCUACGGGCGGCAGCAGUUGGGAAGAUUGGACAAUGGGCGGAAGCCUGAUGCAGCGACGCCGCGUGGGGGAUGACGGCCUUCGGGUUGUAAGCUCCUUUCGACCGCGAGGAAGCCACCUGGUUGGAAGGGUGGUGACGGUAGUGGUAGAAGAAGCACCGGCUAACUACGUG
rnacentral:rRNA from 1 species